AUAGCUUCCAGCCCAGGAGGAGUUUAGUGUUUCAAACCACACAUCACAAAUCAUUUCCUCUGCACAUUCCUUGGAAGUUUGGGGGCAUUAACUUUCCAUCUUAUCUUUCCUAGGGUGGAUGCCAGGAGCUGGCCCUAGUGAUGUUUGCAUUUGAACAACAGUGAGAUUGGGUGUCAGCUGCCCCAGGGGCGCCGCCGAGGAAGAUGAAGAAAUGGAGCAGGCUGUCUCCAGGCAAAGGAGGAGAGAAGGGCAGAAUCCGGAUGGUAUGGAAUGAACAGCAAGGGAGGGAAGCGGAAAGGGGAACUGGGAUUUGCUACUGUUCUAUCAAAUUGCAGUGUGCAAAGCUAGCUCCAGGUGGUGGGCUCCUGAGUGUCACCGCCAGGGUACAAACCUCAGUUGUGCCCUCUACUUACUGUGUGACCAUGUGUGAAUGGGCAAACUCUCUGAACUUGAGUUUGCCUCUCAGCAAAACAGUACCUACUUCCUGGGACUGUCAGGGGCACUGAAUGAGAUGACAAGCGACCCUUAGCCCAGCACCUGGUACACAGCAAACACUCCAUCCAAUCCGGACACGAUUAUCAUUCUGCCAGAACUUCUGUGAAAUUUGGUUACAGGUAGGUGGCAAAGCCUGGGUUCUGGUCUUUCUGCUGAUCUCAACAGAUGGGUUUUGAAUAGGCAGGCUUACCUGAGUCACAGAUGACCCCUCUACCUUGACCUAUGAAAUCCAGAGCUCUAGAAAGGCAGACAAAAGCGCAGCAUUAACAUUUCACCUGCUAUUGCCAAAGUGAUAAAUAAUUAGAAUAUUACUUAAAGAUAUGCAUCCGUGAGUUCGAG
rnacentral:lncRNA from 1 species